GGAAUUUUCCGCAAUGGGCGCAAGCCUGACGGAGCAACGCCGCGUGCGGGAGGACGCCCUUCGGGGUGUAAACCGCUUUUCGGGGGGACGAAGGAAGUGACGGUACCCCCGGAAGAAGGCCCGGCUAACUACGUGCCAGCAGCCGCGGUAAGACGUAGGGGCCGAGCGUUGUCCGGAGUUACUGGGCGUAAAGGGCGCGCAGGCGGCCGGUCGCAUCGGCGGUGAAAGCCCCCCGCUCAACGGGGGAGGGUCCGUCGAGAUGGAUCGGCUGGAGGCAGGGAGAGGGCGGUGGAAUUCCGGGUGUAGUGGUGAAAUGCGUAGAGAUCCGGAGGAACACCAGUGGCGAAGGCGGCCGCCUGGACCUGACCUGACGCUGAGGCGCGAAGGCGUGGGGAGCGAACGG
rnacentral:rRNA from 1 species